rnacentral:tRNA from 1 species
GACACGGUGCUCAAAUGGUAAGCGCGUUGGACUCCAAAUCGAGCGGUCUGGGUUCAAGCCCUGGCUGGGUCA